rnacentral:misc_RNA from 1 species
GAUGAAACAGAAGCUGUAGGCAAGUUUCCAUGAAACGUCGUGACGCACUUCCGCUGUUUGAUUUCCCAAUAAUUGAGUAACAUCAUCUCUCGUAUUUUAAAACAUUUUAUAAUUUAAAAAUAUUUUUAAAAAUCAUAAAAAAAUAUAUCAAAAUUAUUGUAAUUCGGAUUUAACCCUAUAAUCAGAUUUUUAUCACUUUAUUUGAAAAGCUUUUGCUAACUCAACUUGACCUUGCUAGUUCUUUUCCGUUCAGCUACCGCGGUUGGAACAUGUCUUAUUCAUCAGAAAGAAGAUCAGAAGAUUGGCCUGAGGAUUCCAAAAACGGGCCAUCAAAGGAUCAAGUGAGCUAUGACGGUCCUCCAGGCAUGGAACCCGGUGGAGCCCUGGAUACUAACUGGGAUCAAGUGGUGGAGACUUUCGACGACAUGAAUUUGAAGGAAGAAUUAUUGAGAGGAAUCUAUGCCUAUGGUUUCGAGAAACCGUCGGCAAUCCAACAGCGUGCUAUCAUGCCGUGCAUCCAGGGACGCGACGUUAUAGCCCAAGCCCAAUCUGGAACCGGCAAAACUGCGACUUUCUCUAUUUCCAUUCUGCAGCAAAUAGACACCAGUGUCCGCGAAUGUCAGGCUCUUAUUCUGGCCCCGACCAGAGAGCUGGCGCAGCAAAUUCAAAAGGUGGUGAUAGCUCUUGGUGACCACUUGAAUGCUAAAUGCCACGCUUGCAUCGGUGGCACCAAUGUGCGCGAGGAUAUUCGCCAGCUGGAGAGUGGAGUUCAUGUGGUCGUGGGCACUCCGGGCCGCGUGUACGACAUGAUUACGCGCCGGGCGCUGCGCGCGAGCACCAUCAAGCUCUUUGUCCUUGACGAGGCCGACGAAAUGUUGUCCAGAGGAUUUAAAGAUCAAAUUCACGAUGUAUUCAAGAUGUUGUCACCUGACGUGCAGGUUAUCUUACUCUCUGCUACCAUGCCUGAUGAUGUGUUGGAGGUGUCCCGUUGUUUCAUGAGAGACCCUGUGCGCAUUCUUGUGCAAAAAGAAGAGCUAACCUUGGAAGGUAUUAAACAAUUCUACAUUUCUAUUGAGCAAGAGGAAUGGAAAUUGGAGACUCUUUGUGAUUUGUACGACACCUUAUCCAUUGCUCAGGCUGUGAUUUUCUGCAACACUCGUCGCAAGGUCGACUGGCUGACCGAGUCUAUGCACCAGCGCGACUUCACCGUGUCCGCCAUGCACGGCGACAUGGACCAGCGCGAGCGUGAAGUGAUCAUGAGGCAGUUCCGUACUGGCUCUUCCCGUGUUCUCAUUACCACUGAUUUGCUGGCGCGUGGCAUUGACGUGCAGCAAGUGUCUUGCGUCAUCAAUUAUGAUCUGCCCACUAACCGUGAAAAUUACAUUCAUAGAAUUGGUCGAGGUGGCCGUUUCGGCCGUAAAGGAAUCGCUAUCAACUUUGUGACUGAAACAGAUAGAAGAGCACUCAAGGACAUUGAGGACUUCUAUCACACAAGUAUCUCGGAAAUGCCCAGUGAUGUGGCCAACCUCAUCUGAGGUGUCUGCGUUUUCCCGGUUUAUACUUUGUGUCCUGCGUUCUAUUGCGAUAUUUAUAAGAAGAUCUACCUACUGAGCCUGUGAAACGCACUUUGGACACAACUAUGUGGAAAUAAUAAAUCAAAAUUUCCUCAAUAACGUUCAUUACUUUCUUUUGGCAGGUCCUUUUUGUAUCCUGUAAUCCCAUAACAUACAUGCUUUUGCAUUUUACUUUUUAAAGAUUGUUUUCUACAUGGUUUUUAUGUUCAUUUCGAAUUAUUUAUAUUUUUGGAAUAAAUUUUGUUCGAAAUAUUAGUGACUUUUGACCAAAUGAUAAUUAAGGUUCCUCUUGCUUUAAUUUAUAUAAUAAGCAGUGAAUGUGGAACUUAGUCAAAAUAGUAGCUUGUGUUAUACAUGCUACACAAAUAUCAAAUGUAAAUCUUCGUUUUGUAUUUGCCUGACUGCUAGAUCCAUUUCAUAAGCUUUUUGCAUACCAUGUAUUGCAGUAAAUAAAUUAUCGAUUCCAAUAAUUAUAAAAAUAAUGUAUAGGUACCUUA